GGGGCGGUGUGGGGGGCUCCAUAUGGGCGCUAUGCCCUUGUUCGCGCUCCACUACAGGGCAACACAAGAGAUUAGGCCACAAGCCCAUAUACAUCGAACACAUGCAACAAUUGAGAAAGAAGGAAAAGAUAUAAGGAGGCGGCCAUAAUUUUUAUAAGCAUCAUCAGACGCACGUAGACGAUCAGAGGAGGAGCCAUAUUAUUAUUUGUUGAGUUCGACAAACAAGACAGUUGACGGCAGAAAAGGGAGUAGGCAGAGAAAGAGGCGAUCACGAAGGAGAAGAAAUGAUUAUACGGUUCAAGAUUCUAAGCCGCGAUUCAAGACUCAGGAGCUGUUCCAUAGGAUGAUGAUCAUGACACUAGGGCGGACCUGUGCCUUAGAGACUAAAAAUGAAGAUAGACUAGUUUAAUUAUGUCACGAACUCUUUGUUUUCCUGUUUAAGACAAUGUAUUACGCUUGUUAAAUAAAUAAAAUGUAACUUUGGUUUCCACGGUUAUGAAACAAUUA
rnacentral:lncRNA from 1 species